CCUACGGGUGGCAGCAGUGAGGAAUAUUGGUCAAUGGACGCGAGUCUGAACCAGCCAAGUAGCGUGAAGGAUGACUGCCCUAUGGGUUGUAAACUUCUUUUAUAUGGGAAUAAAAUGUUCCACGUGUGGGUUUUUGUAUGUACCAUAUGAAUAAGGAUCGGCUAACUCCGUGCCAGCAGCCGCGGUAAUACGGAGGGUCCGAGCGUUAUCCGGAUUUAUUGGGUUUAAAGGGAGCGUAGGUGGAUUGUUAAGUGAGUUGUGAAAGUUUGCGGCUCAACCGUAAAAUUGCAGUUGAAACUGGCAGUCUUGAGUACAGUAGAGGUGGGCGGAAUUCGUGGUGUAGCGGUGAAAUGCUUAGAUAUCACGAAGAACUCCGAUUGCGAAGGCAGCUCACUGGACUGCAACUGACACUGAGGCUCGAAAGUGUGGGUAUCAAACAGGAUUAGAUACCCCAGUAGUC
rnacentral:rRNA from 1 species